rnacentral:rRNA from 1 species
GACGAACGCUGGCGGCGUGCUUAACACAUGCAAGUCGAACGGAAAGGCCCUGCUUGCAGGGUACUCGAGUGGCGAACGGGUGAGUAACACGUGGGUGAUCUGCCCUGCACUUCGGGAUAAGCCUGGGAAACUGGGUCUAAUACCGGAUAGGAGCCAUUUUUAGUGUGAUGGUUGGAAAGUUUUUUCGGUGUAGGAUGAGCUCGCGGCCUAUCAGCUUGUUGGUGGGGUAAUGGCCUACCAAGGCGGCGACGGGUAGCCGGCCUGAGAGGGUGGACGGCCACAUUGGGACUUAGGGACGGCCCAGACUCCUACGGGAGGCCGCAGUGGGGAAUAUUGCACCAUGGGCGCCAGCCUGAUGCAGCGGCGCCGCGUGGGGGAAGACGGCCUUCGGGUUGUAAACUCCUUUCGCUAGGGACGAAGCUUUUUGUGACGGUACCUAGAUAAGAAGCACCGGCUAACUACGUG